GGGGGGGGGGGGGGGGGGGGGGGGGGGGGGCGGGUCGGGCGGUGGGGCGGGGUCGGCCGGGGGGGGGGGGCGGACGGGUGGGUAGCGCGUGGGCAACCUGCCCUGCACUCUAGGAUAAGCCCGGUCAACUGGGUCUAAUACCGGAUACGACACUCCGCGGCCGCUUGGGUCGUGGAACGUUCCGGCGGGGCAGCAGGAGCCCGCGGCCUAUCAGCUUGUCGGUGGGGUCAUGACCUACCAAGGCGACGACGAGUAGCCGUCCUGAGAGGGUGACCGGCCAAAGUGGGACUGGGAAAGGGACCAAAAUCCUACGGGGGGCAGCAGUGGGGAAUAUAGCAAUAUGGACGAAAGCCUGAUGCAGCAACGCCGCGUGAGGGAUAACGGCCUGCGGGUUGUAAACCUCUUUCAGCAGGGAAGAAGCGAAAGUGACGGUACCUGCAGAAGAAGCACCGGCUAACUACGUG
rnacentral:rRNA from 1 species